UACGUAGGUGGCAAGCGUUACUCGGAAUCACUAGGCGUAAAGCGCGGGUAGGCGGUUCGGUAAGUCUCUUGUGAAAGCUCCUGGCUCAACUGGGAGAGGUCAAGGGAAACUACCGGGCUUGAGUGUGGCAGAGGAAGCUGGAAUUCCCGGUGUAGCGGUGAAAUGCGUAGAGAUCGGGAGGAACACCUAUGGCGAAAGCAGGCUUCUGGGCCAUCACUGACGCUAAUCUGCGAAAGCUAGGGGAG
rnacentral:rRNA from 1 species